CGAAGGGUGCAAGCGUUGCUCGGAAUUAUUGGGCGUAAAGGGUAGGUAGGUGGUGGUAAAAGUCUGGAGUGAAAUCCCUAAGCUUAACUUAGGACGUGCUUUGGAAACUUUAUCACUAGAGUACUAGAGAGGUUCGUGGAAUUCCUGGUGUAGCGGUGAAAUGCGUAGAGAUCAGGAGGAACAUCUGUGGCGAAGGCGACGAACUGGAUAGUUACUGACACUCAACUACGAAAGCGUGGGGAGCAAACAGGAUUAGAUACCCUGGUAGUCCACGCUGUAAACGAUCGGUACUAGGAUUGGUGGGAGUUGACCCCUGCCGAUCCGGAGCUAACGCGAUAAGUACCGCGCCUGGGAAGUACGGUCGCAAGACUA
rnacentral:rRNA from 1 species